rnacentral:lncRNA from 1 species
AUACUAUACAUUAGGACCGUAGCCCCUAACAAACUUUCCAAAAAGCAAAUGCCCAUUAGGAGGUGGGGUUUAUUAGCUUUUAUCUACUAGACAUGGGGGUUUCACACCUGAGUUGACCCACAUCAAGCUAGAUCAUCCUCAAUUAAUAGGUUGGGCGGUAAAACCCAUUUAAUCUUACCAACCAGGUACUAGUCGACCCUCCUUGUGAACUCCCAUAAUUGUUGCCAAUAUAUUAGCCACCUUCAGCAACCAACCCCAGCCUGAGUCUCACCAAACCACAUAGGGGCCUCACACCUGAGUUGAUCCGCAUCAAGCUAGAUUACUCUCAAUCAAUAGGCU